GUCUACGGCCAUACCACCCUGAACGCGCCCGAUCUCAUCUGAUCUCGGAAGCUAAGCAGGGUCGGGCCUGGUUAGUACUUGGAUGGGAGAUACUCUCCUUAACACCCACUGUUCUUUCUAAACA
rnacentral:rRNA from 1 species